UUUAUUUAAGAAAAAAAAAAUAAGAAAAAAAGAAAAUUAAUCUUCUACUCUUCUCCAUUUAUUCUCUAUUCAGUGUGUUUUUUUUUUUUGUAUAAAUUCCCCAACACAGAAAAAAAAAAAAAUUUUGUAUAGAUAGAAAAACCUCAUAGAAAAAACCAUAAACAAAAUUGAUAAAAAGCUCAAAAAAAUUGCCGAGCUAUUCCCUCCGUAUAAUUAUAUACAAAAGAUAAAUCAUUUAAUAUUCCAUAGAGAAGAGUAGCCAUAUAUUGUGGCAUAGAAAAUAAUAUAAAAGAAAAAUAUAAUAAUAACUUAGAUAGGUAUAAAGUGUAAGAAAAAGUUAUAUUAGAUAGAGGAUAAACAAAAAAAAGCUGAGCAUAAUAAAAGUUCUGAGAUUUUUUCAAUUCAAAACAUAAAACAAAAAAAAAAUAUA